GCCGAAGUGGUGGAAUUGGUAGACACGCACGCUUGAGGGGCGUGUGGGGCAACUCGUGGGAGUUCAAAUCUCCCCUUCGGCA
rfam:Deltaproteobacteria bacterium RIFOXYC2_FTLL_48_10 rifoxyc2_full_scaffold_1070, whole genome shotgun sequence.